GGAUAUACUAAGGCAAACGUUCGCUGCGCAUUCGUGCAAAAGUUAUCACUGCCAGAUAAUAACUCUAUGGACGUUGGUCGUCCAGAGAUAACAUCAUUUUGUUAAUACGGUUUGCAGUAGAAGUAGCAGGCAAACCACAUAAUGUAACAAGUACCUAUCACACACUCUGAGCGGCCGUAGUACCGCCAUGUCGCGCGACCUGUGUAGACAGUGUUUUCUCACGUGCACCGCAUUGUUGCUGAUCACGGCGUGGAUGACCACGACCACCACUGGUGACAAAUUCGUAUCAAACUUGGAUUCCACGUGUUUGCGGUGUCUGUGUCAUGCUUCGACUUUGUGCAACGCGACGUUCGGAUGUUCCCGAGGGUUUUGCGGUCCGUAUUUCAUACCUCGGGAUUACUGGAAGGAUGCGGGAUUCAUAGUGUUGCAAGACGACGACCCGGAUAGAGACAUGGCGUUCAUAGACUGUGUGUCGGACAUGACGUGUGCCCAAAGAACGAUGGAGAGCUACUUGGCCAAAUGGGGCAGAGACUGUAACCAAGACGGUGUGACUGAUUGUGACGACUACGCCAGAACGCAUUUUAAUGGACGGGAAGAUUGUUCUUCGAUAGACCGAACGAACUAUUGGAGGCGAUACGAGUCAUGCAGACCUGGCCGCAGAGGUCAGCAAGGCGAUGGAAAAAUCGGCUUCUGGCACCGAAAACAGUCUGGAAAACAAUAAUUCGACAUCUGUCAUUAAAGCAGUCGUGUGUGGAGCAGAACAUUGAAUUAUUUUGUUUAACACACUUGUAGUUCCUAGUAUAGAUUACACGGAGAAUCAUUGUUGUAUAUCUAUGUGGUUUCUUAAUAGCCGAGGAAACUUGGACUGAAAAUUUUUAUUAUACUAAAACGUUUUACUAAUUUAUCAUCAAUUAUUUUAUUAUUAUUAUUAUAUUAUAUUGAUAUUUAAUGUACUUUUAUUUUACUUUUAUAUAUUUAAUUUAAGACAAUUAGUUGGUCCUUAAACAAUAAAAAAAAAAUUUUAAAUCUU